UUGAACGCUGGCGGCAUGCUUUACACAUGCAAGUCGAACGGUAACAGGGAGCUUGCUCCGCUGACGAGUGGCGAACGGGUGAGUAAUGCAUCGGAACGUACCCAGUCGUGGGGGAUAACGUAGCGAAAGUUACGCUAAUACCGCAUACGUCCUGAGGGAGAAAGCGGGGGACCGUAAGGCCUCGCGCGAUUGGAGCGGCCGAUGUCGGAUUAGCUAGUUGGUGGGGUAAAGGCCUACCAAGGCGACGAUCCGUAGCGGGUCUGAGAGGAUGAUCCGCCACACUGGGACUGAGACACGGCCCAGACUCCUACGGGAGGCAGCAGUGGGGAAUUUUGGACAAUGGGGGCAACCCUGAUCCAGCCAUGCCGCGUGAGUGAAGAAGGCCUUCGGGUUGUAAAGCUCUUUCGGACAGAAAGAAAUCGCACUGGUUAAUACCUUGUGUGGAUGACGGUACUGUAAGAAGAAGCACCGGCUAACUACGU
rnacentral:rRNA from 1 species